CAUGGGGGAAACCCUGNAUGCAGCGACGCCGCGUGGAGGAAGAAGGUCUUCCGAUUGUAAACUCCUGUUGUUGAGGAAGAUAAUGACUGUACUCAACAAGGAAGUGACGGCUAACUACGUGCCAGCAGCCGCGGUAAAACGUAGGUCACAAGCGUUGUCCGGAAUUACUGGGUGUAAAGGGAGCGCAGGCGGGAAAACAAGUUGGAAGUGAAAUCNAUGGGCUCAACCCAUGAACUGCUUUCAAAACUGUUUUUCUUGAGUAGUGCAGAGGUAGGCGGAAUUCCCGGUGUAGCGGUGGAAUGCGUAGAUAUCGGGAGGAACACCAGUGGCGAAGGCGGCCUACUGGGCACCAACUGACGCUGAGGCUCGAAAGUGUGGGUAGCAAACAGGAUUAGAUACCCUGGUAGUCCAAGGGCGAAUUC
rnacentral:rRNA from 1 species